rnacentral:rRNA from 1 species
ACGGGGUGCAGCAGGCGCGAAAACUCCACAAUGUACGACAGUACGAUGGGGUUAUCUCGAGUGCAGUCCGAUAAGGGCUGCUUUUCCAUAGAGUAAUAUCCUGUGGGAAUAAGAGGGGGGCAAGACUGGUGCCAGCCGCCGCGGUAACACCAGCGCCUCGAGUGGGGGUCGCGAUUAUUGGGUCUAAAGCGUCCGUAGCAGGCUUUGUAAAUACUUUGUGAAAUCGGCAGGCAUAACCUGUCGGCGUGCAGAGUACACUGCAGAGCUUGAGACCGGGAGAUGUCAGAAGUAUUCCUAGGGUACCGGUAAAAUGGGUUAAUCCUGGGAGGACUACCGAUGGCGAAGGCAUCUGACAAGAACGGUUCUGACUGUGAGGGACGAAAGCUAGGGGAGCAAAACGGAUUAGAUACCCGAGUAGUCCUAGCCGUAAACGCUGUGAGCAAGGUAUUGCGCCUCCCACGAGGAUGCGCAGUGUCGAAACGAAGGUGUUAAGCUCACCCACCAGGGAAGUACGGCCGCAAGGCUGAAACUUUUAGGAAUUGGCGGGGGAGCACA